AGGAUAAACGCUGGCGGCGUGCCUUACGCAUGCAAGUCGCACGGUUCUUUCGGGGACAGUGGCGGACGGGUGAGUAACACGUGCGUGACCUGACCGUUGCUGGGGGAUACCCGUCCGAAAGGGCGGCUAAUACCGCAUACGUUCCUACGAGGUGUCGUGGGAGGAAAGGCGCAAGCCGGCGACGGAGGGGCGUGCGGCCGAUUAGCUGGUUGGCGGGGUAACGGCCCACCAAGGCUGUGAUCGGUAGCUGGGCUGAGAGGCCGAACAGCCACACUGGGACUGAGACACGGCCCAGACUCCUACGGGAGGCAGCAGCGAGGAAUUUUGCGCAAUGGGGGAAACCCUGACGCAGCAACGCCGCGUGGGUGAUGAAGGCUCUCGGGUCGUAAAGCCCUUUUGGUGGGGACGACGACGACGGUACCCAUCGAAGAAGCCACGGCUAACUACGUGCCAGCAGCCGC
rnacentral:rRNA from 1 species